AUGGCUGCUCUGGGGGACGAGGUGCUGGACGCUUACAUGUACCCGGCGUGCGCCCUCUACUCGUACCCGUACCCCUACCCCUACCCGGCCGCCGCCAAGGGCAAGGGAGCGGCGGGCGGGGGAGGCUGGCGGCACCGGGACGGCGGCUACCCUCCCGUUUCCUCCUCCUCUGACGGCGCGGCCUCGUCGUCUUUCCCGGCCUACGGGCAGCUAGCGGCCGCCGAGUACUUCCACAGCUACCAGCGGGCGCAACUCAUGGCCCUCCUGUCGCAGGUGGGCCCCGGCCUCGCCCCGCGGCCCGGCCGCGCCAGCAUUCGGGACGUGGCUGUACAGGUGAACCCGCGCCGCGACGUCUCCGUGCAGUGCUCGCUGGGGCGGCGUACGCUGCUGCGCAGGGCCCGCGAGCCCGGCCCUGAGCCCGAGGGCGCGGCGGGCGCGGGCGGCAGCUGCCCGGUCUCCCCGGAGCUGGCCCGCCGGGGCCCCGAGCAGGGUAGCCCGCCGAGCGGCGCCCCGCGGCCCGUGCGCUUCCCGCGCACCGUGGCGGUGUACUCGCCCGUGGCCUCCCGCCGCCUUUCCACCCUCCUGGAAGGGGCCGAGACUGCGGCGGCCGAGCAGAGGCCCGGGGCGCCGGACGGAGAGCGAGGGCCGCCAGCUGCGAGGCCCCGAGGCCCCGAGGAGGGAGAGGGGUCGGCGAGGAAGGAGCCCCAACGGCCGCAGUCCGAGGAGGACGAGGCCCAGGCCGGCGUACCGGCGAGCAGGGAGCAGCCCCCGCCGGUGACCGGCGCCCCGGACGCCGCGGGCGAGAGGUGGUCACCGCGGAGCCCCCAGCCGGGCAAGGAGCGCCUGCGCUUCCAGUUCUUAGAACAGAAAUAUGGCUACUAUCACUGCAAGGACUGCAACAUCCGAUGGGAAAGUGCCUACGUGUGGUGUGUACAGGGCACUAACAAGGUUUACUACAAGCAGUUUUGCAGAACGUGUCAGAAGUCUUAUAACCCUUACCGAGUGGAGGAUAUCACCUGUCAAAAUUGUAAACAGACUAGAUGCUCCUGCCCAGUAAAAGUUCGCCACGUGGACCCAAAAAGGCCCCACCGUCAAGAUCUGUGUGGGAGAUGCAAAGGCAAACGCUUAUCCUGUGACAGCACUUUCAGUUUCAAAUAUAUCAUUUAAAUGAAUGUGAAAAAACCAAAACCCUGGUCCCGCCGAACGUGUGCUAGUGGAGCAGACAAUGUAGGUUAUGCUGGUGGAUGAGCAGUUCUCAUAGACCAAAAGGAGGUACACUCACUCUGGCUUUGGUGAGUCUGUUCCAAGAAAAUGUCUGACGAUUUCCUAAAUUUAAGGUAGAUCUUA